GACGAACGCUGGCGGCGUGCUUAACACAUGCAAGUCGAACGGAAAGGCCCUGCUUUUGUGGGGUGCUCGAGUGGCGAACGGGUGAGUAACACGUGAGUAACCUGCCCUUGACUUUGGGAUAACUUCAGGAAACUGGGGCUAAUACCGGAUAGGAGCUCCUGCUGCAUGGUGGGGGUUGGAAAGUUUCGGCGGUUGGGGAUGGACUCGCGGCUUAUCAGCUUGUUGGUGGGGUAGUGGCUUACCAAGGCUUUGACGGGUAGCCGGCCUGAGAGGGUGACCGGCCACAUUGGGACUGAGAUACGGCCCAGACUCGUACGGGAGGCAGAAGAGGGGAAUAUUGCACAAUGGGCGGAAGCCUGAUGCAGCAACGCCGCGUGCGGGAUGACGGCCUUCGGGUUGUAAACCGCUUCCGCCUGUGACGAAGCGUGAGUGACGGUAAUGGGUAAAGAAGCACCGGCUAACUACGUG
rnacentral:rRNA from 1 species